rnacentral:rRNA from 1 species
UGAACGCUGGCGGCGUGCCUAAUACAUGCAAGUCGAGCGACCGGACGAGAAGCUUGCUUCUCUGAUGUUAGCGGCGGACGGGUGAGUAACACGUGGAUAACCUACCUAUAAGACUGGGAUAACUUCGGGAAACCGGAGCUAAUACCGGAUGAUAUUUUGAACCGCAUGGUUCCAAAGUGAAAGACGGUCUUGCUGUCACUUAUAGAUGGAUCCGCGCUGCAUUAGCUAGUUGGUAAGGUAACGGCUUACCAAGGCAACGAUGCAUAGCCGACCUGAGAGGGUGAUCGGCCACACUGGAACUGAGACACGGUCCAGACUCCUACGGGAGGCAGCAGUAGGGAAUCUUCCGCAAUGGGCGAAAGCCUGACGGAGCAACGCCGCGUGAGUGAUGAAGGUCUUCGGAUCGUAAAACUCUGUUAUUAGGGAAGAACAUAUGUGUAAGUAACUGUGCACAUCUUGACGGUACCUAAUCAGAAAGCCACGGCUAACUACGUG